CUUCUGUCCCCACACCUCCGGGGGACAGCGGCAGCCUGGUCACCAUAUCUGCAGCUCCCCGCAGGCACGCCCGGCCCCCGCCGCGGCCUCCGUAUCCGUAGGGGGUGACGGCAGACCCACCGCGAGCCCCAUCUUCCUCCGAGCCCAAGGGACAAAGCUUUGUCCUUAUAGUGGCCUCGCUGGCCUGGCUGCCUAAGAAUUCCCUGGAUGAUAGCAAAGACCGUGUAAAGGCAGAGUGUAAACGUGUGGUCCGGUUCCAGAGGAAUGGCUUCCGGGGCCAAGUCAAUGGCGGCGAAGUGUGCAGAGGGACUGAUGACAGGGGAGACGCACAUCGAUCCCUCCAGCAGCUGCGUGAGGGGCUGACGUGAGAAUGUCUGAAGAGCUGUAUUUUGGACCAGGUGUAAUUCAAUGCUGCCCUUUGGGUGUCCGAUACUUUCUCAAGACCUAUGCUCUCCAGGGGCUGGCGCUGUGGCACAGCAGGUUAAAACCCUGGCCUGAAGCGUUGGCAUCCCAUAUGGGCUCCUCUUCCGAUCCAGCUCUCUGCUAUGACCUGGGAAGCAGUAGAAGAUGGCCCAAGUCACUGGGCCCCUGCACCCACCUGGGAGACCAGGAAGAAGCUCUUGGCUUCGGACCUACACAGCUCGGGCCAUUGCGGCCAUCUAGGGAGUGAACCAGUGGAUGGAAGACCUCUCUCUCUGUUUCUACCUCUCUCUGUAACUCUGUCUUUCAAAUAAAUAAAAUAAAUCUUAAAAAAAAAAAAAAGACCUAUGCUCUCCCAAGUCAUCCCAUGCUUCAAAGCUAUCUUUUUAUUCUGAAUUCCUGCUUCUUCAGAUCUUCCAAACAAAUCACUUUUUAAUUCCUUUGCUGGGCCGGUGCUGUGGCGCAGCAGGUUAUUGUCCUGGCCUGAGGCGCCGGCAUCCCGUAUGGGCACUGGUUCUAGUCCCAGCUGCUCCACUUCUGAUCCAGCCCUCUGCUAUGGCAUGGGAAAGCAGUGGAAGAUUUCCCAAGUCCUUGGGCCCCUGCACCCACAUGGGAGACCCAAAGAAGCUCCUGGCUUCAGAUUGGUGCAGCUCCAGCCAUUGCGGCCAAUUGGGGAGUGAACCAUUGGAUGGAAGACCUCUCUCUCUCUCUCUCUCUCUCUGCCUCUCCUCUGUGUAACUCUGACUUUCAAAUAAAUAAAUAAAUCUUUUAAAAAAAAUUCCUUUGCUGGCCUUGCCCUCUCCAGUUUGUUCUGCAUAUGACGACAGAAUGGUAAUUAUUCCAUUUCUGAAAGGUUGCUAAACCACGUUCAAACAUGUUCUUUCCUUUUUUUUUUUUAUUUUUAUUUUUUUAUUUUUUUUGACAGGCAGAGUGGACAGUGAGAGAGAGACAGAGAGAGAAAGGUCUUCCUUUACCGUUGGUUCACCCUCCAAUGGCCGCCGCUGCAGCCGGCGCACCAUGCUGAUCCGAUGGCAGGAGCCAGGAGCCAGGUGCUUUUCCUGGUCUCCCAUGGGGUGCAGGGCCCAAGCACCUGGGCCAUCCUCCACUGCACUCCCGGGCCACAGCAGAGAGCUGGCCUGGAAGAGGGGCAACCGGGACAGAAUCCGGCUCCCCAGCCGGGACUAGAACCCGGUGUGCCGGCGCCGCAAGGUGGAGGAUUAGCCUAUUGAGCCACGGCGCCGGCCUCAUGUUCUUUCCUUCUAACACCACAUUCCCAUCAAGCGGCCAGUGGUGGAGCACUCUGAGAUUACAUAAAAGGGCCAAGGGGCUCGCAGAAUCAAAGUGAAAACACCAGAGCAGCUGGCUUCCGCACAGCUCUGCCAGUUGACAUGUAAGGAACUUUGGGCUUGUGUGUAUCAUUCCGCCUACUUUUCAACCUAGACCACUAUGGAAGGGCAGGAACCCCCAGGGGAAGGCGUGGAUAUCCUUUCUCACCACAACCCCAUCUUGAUGGUCCCAAAUCGAAGAUGUAUACAUUUCCACGGUAACAUAGCUCCUCUCUGUGAAAUUAAGCCAUUUAUUAUCUUAGUUUGCAAAAAGUAGAUGAAAUGUUAGCAGCACAAGUUGAACAUAUACUUUUAUUAUUUACAAAACACAUGGGGAUCAUGAGUCAUGUCACCAAUGACAAAAGGGAAGAGUGGACACAAAUGGGCUAAAUGGUAACAAGGUACCCGUUUGUAUGGGGUCCAUUUAUAAUAAAACAGUUCUUUGCUAAAAUCAGAAAAAGGUGCAAGUAGGUACACUGCUGUGUAAAAACACCCCAGUUGCUUCUACCCGAAGGUGGAAAAGCAUUGGUAGUGUACAUAGCGUGUCCUAAAUUAGACUAGACAGCGUAUAUGGAUCCACAACACAAGCCCUGGUGCUAGGCAGGAAGCUGUGUGAGACUCGAUGGCCUGUCUUGCUGAAGCAGCAAAGCCCCAGGACUAAUUAACUUCCCUACCUUCCACAGGGCUUUGUUCAGGUGACUUUGGAAGGUGCUGUCAAAAACCUCAGCCAUUUCUGAUGCAAGUUCCCUCAGAACAGACACCGUGGACUCAUCACGGGUAUUCAGAAUCCGCACAAAGAAUUUAUUCCACAAUUCACCAUUCUCAAGCCUAAAAAU